GACGAACGCUGGCGGCGUGCUUAACACAUGCAAGUCGAACGGAAAGGCCCUGCUUUUGUGGGGUGCUCGAGUGGCGAACGGGUGAGUAACACGUGAGUAACCUGCCCUUGACUUUGGGAUAACUUCAGGAAACUGGGGCUAAUACCGGAUAGGAGCUCCUGCUGCAUGGUGGGGGUUGGAAAGUUUCGGCGGUUGGGGAUGGACUCGCGGCUUAUCAGCUUGUUGGUGGGGUAGUGGCUUACCAAGGCUUUGACGGGUAGCCGGCCUGUGAGGGUGACCGGCCACAUUGGGACUGAGAUACGGCGCAGACUCCUACGGGAGGCAGCAGUGGGGAAUAUUGCACAAUGGGCGGAAGCCUGAUGCAGCAACGCCGCGUGCGGGAUGACGGCCUUCGGGUUGUAAACCGCUUUCGCCUAUGACGAAGCGUGAGUGACGGUAAUGGAUAAAGAAGCACCGGCUAACUACGUG
rnacentral:rRNA from 1 species